CAGCGAGUGGGCCAGCGGUAGGUCACUCGGCUUGGAACCGAGAAGGCGGAGGUUCGACUCCUCCCUUGCUGACCA
rnacentral:tRNA from 2 species